GUUGGGUAACACUAACUGGAGGACCGAACCGACUAAUGUUGAAAAAUUAGCGGAUGACCUGUGGCUGGGGGUGAAAGGCCAAUCAAACCGGGAGAUAGCUGGUUCUCCCCGAAAGCUAUUUAGGUAGCGCCUCGUGAAUUCAUCUCCGGGGGUAGAGCACUGUUUCGGCUAGGGGGCCAUCCCGGCUUACCAACCCGAUGCAAACUGCGAAUACCGGAGAAUGUUAUCACGGGAGACACACGGCGGGUGCUAACGUCCGUCGUGAAGAGGGAAACAACCCAGACCGCCAGCUAAGGUCCCAAAGUCAUGGUUAAGUGGGAAACGAUGUGGGAAGGCCCAGACAGCCAGGAUGUUGGCUUAGAAGCAGCCAUCAUUUAAAGAAAGCGUAAUAGCUCACUGGUCGAGUCGGCCUGCGCGGAAGAUGUAACGGGGCUAAACCAUGCACCGAAGCUGCGGCAGCGACACUGUGUGUUGUUGGGUAGGGGAGCGUUCUGUA
rnacentral:rRNA from 1 species